rnacentral:misc_RNA from 1 species
AACGCACCUUGCGCUCCUUGGUAUUCCGAGGAGCAUGCCUGUUUGAGUGUCAUGAAAAUCUCAACUCUACUGGCUUUUUUUAUCAUAAAGCUAGUCUGGCUUGGAUUUGUGGGAGUUGCUGAUCUUAAUUUAUGUGAUUCAGCUCUUCUUAAAAGCAUUAGCAAAUAGACUGCUAAAACUCCCUUGAUAUGAUAACUAUCAAUAUCAUUUGAGAUCCUGCAUGUGAUUUUGCUUCCAAUUGUCUGCAAUAUAAGACAUAUAAUAAAUAUAUUUGACAAUUUUGACCUCAAAUCAGGUAGGACUACCCGCUGAACUUAA